UCAUUCGGUAACGCCACGGGCCUGCGUGCUAAAUCCCUUUAGAGGUGGUGGAGGUCUUCUAUUACCUGCGAACAAAGGUCAUCGCAGUGGCAAAAAAAUGGAUCUAAUCAUAUCUUUAGAACUAUUGCACUUCAUUGCAAUGUAAUCAACGAUCCUUUGGACUCUCUCUCUUAUGACACCCUUUUCUUGCAACAAACGCACAAUAUACUGGGCCCUAGCUUCCAAAGUUUGUUUAGGUACCCGAUUCUAUUCUUGAAAUCACUGCAAAUCUUCUUUUAGUUGCGUCAUUGUUGUAUAAAAGUGUUCUCUUUUAGCCUUAAAGUUCUUCGCAUGCUUGACCAUUUUGUUCUCAACGGUGAUGACCCUUUUCUUCAAUCUCACAACCUCGUUCUCAUUCAUUUCUUUUAACUGUUUAACUGUUUAACCAUACAUGCUCGUUCCUCCGCAUGAUUAGCCAAUUGCUUUCGGGCCCUGGCUAGUUCACCCCCUGCUUUGUUCAAGUCAAAAUGGUAUUCCCCUACCUUCUGCCUAAGGUUGUUUAUGAGUUUCUCAUCCUUUACACUUCUGGUGGGAUUUUCUGCCGCUAUUUUCAUUCUCAGAAUAUGGGCUAGAAGGGCUUCAUUUUCUUUGGCUAAUUUUCUCUUUUUACCCUCAUCUACCGUGGCUUGCAAACCAUUCUAUAAUUGAAGGUCCUUGAUUUGUCUUUCCAGCUUUCCUAUUGUGACCCUGUACUCAUUUUCCUUGGCCAACCAAGCCCACCGUUCUUGCGGUGCCUCAACGAAUACUUGAAUGUGAAGCUUUUUGGCUAGUCUUUCUGGUUCGACCCUUGCAGUGUUCUUCUUUCUAUACCAAGAAAGAUAGGCGGGUGAGACCUCACCUCUAGAUAGGUCACGCACUCGAGUGUUCAUCGUAAAUUACUGGCACUCGUUCCAAAUAGAAC
rnacentral:lncRNA from 1 species